CGGUAUGCUUUACACAUGCAAGUCGUACGAGAGUUUUUAACUCAAGUGGCGGACGGGUGAGUAACACGUAAGAAUUUACCUUUAGGAGGGGGAUAACAACUGGAAACGGUUGCUAAUACCCCAUAUGCUUUCGAGUGAAAUAGAUUUUCUGCCUAAAGAGAAGCUUGCGGCUGAUUAGCUUGUUGGUGAGGUAAUGGCUUACCAAGGCGACGAUCAGUAUCUGGUUUGAGAGGACGAUCAGACACACUGGAACUGAGACACGGUCCAGACUCCUACGGGAGGCAGCAGUGGGGAAUUUUCCGCAAUGGGCGAAAGCCUGACGGAGCAAUACCGCGUGAGGGAUGACGGCCUAUGGGUUGUAAACCUCUUUUUUCAGGGAGGAAUCAAUGACGUGUACCUGAAGAAUAAGCAUCGGCUAACUCCGUGCCAGCAGCCGCGGUAAGACGGAGGAUGCAAGUGUUAUCCGGAAUCACUGGGCGUAAAGCGUNUGUAGGUGGUCAAAUAAGUCAACUGUGAAAUCUUGAGGCUCAACCUCAAAAUCGCAGUCGAAACUAUU
rnacentral:rRNA from 1 species